AUUGAACGCUGGCGGCAGGCCUAACACAUGCAAGUCGAACGAGUGGCGGACGGGUGAGUAAUGUCUGGGAAACUGCCUGAUGGAGGGGGAUAACUACUGGAAACGGUAGCUAAUACCGCAUACCAUCAGAUUUGCCCAGAUGGGAUUAGCGUGUUGGUGGGGUAACGGCGCACCAAGGCGACGAUCCCUAGCUGGUCUGAGAGGAUGACCAGCCCAACUGUAAUUGAGACACGGUCCAGACUCCCACGUGAGGCAUCAGUGGGGAAGAGUGCAUAAUGGGCGCAAGCCUGAUGCAGCCAUGCCGUGUGUAGGAAGAAGGCCUUCGGGUGGUAAAGUACUUUCAGCGGGGAGGCGUUACCCGCAGAAGAAGCACCGGCGAACUCCGUGCCAGCAGCCGCGUAAUUC
rnacentral:rRNA from 1 species